ACGCCCCGAACGCGCACCGUUCCUCCGGCGUACUGCGUGAGAUCACGAGAACAAGCAGCCAAAUCUCAUUCCUCCAGGAACAACUCCACUCACUCUAGGACCUAUGGAUACACUCCUGGAAGGACUGGCAAAUGCCGGCAGAAAAAGGUAUACACGUAUGUGUGAUGGUUAAUAUUGAGUGUC